rnacentral:rRNA from 1 species
UACGUAGGGUGCAAGCGUUGUCCGGAAUUAUUGGGCGUAAAGAGCUCGUAGGCGGUUUGUCGCGUCUGCUGUGAAAACUCGGGGCUUAACCCCGGGCCUGCAGUGGGUACGGGCAGACUAGAGUGCGGUAGGGGAGACUGGAAUUCCUGGUGUAGCGGUGAAAUGCGCAGAUAUCGGGAGGAACACCAAUGGCGAAGGCAGCUCGCUGGGACGGUACUGACGCUGAGACGCGAAAGCGUGGGGAGCAAACAGG